rnacentral:lncRNA from 1 species
UUAUUCAAUUACAAUUAUUUAAAUGUUCAAUGGUAUCAUAAAAGUUAACUAACUAAGCACUAAGAUUUUCGAUACUUGACUUCUCGUCCAACCCAUCCGUACUAAGCUUCCGGAGUCUCUGGAAAAAAAAGACAACAUAAGGAUAUGAGCUUUUCCAGCUCAGUAAGAAUCACCGUACAUCUACAUCAAAAUAAUAUGUAUACUGAAAAUAUAUCAAUAAGCAUAUCAAGAUGAAAUCAUGAAGACUCAUAACAUAUAUUUGAAAUAACAUACAUCGAACAUAAAUCACGCAAUAGAUCAUCACAUGCCAUCAAGUAAGGUCUUUUAUUCAAUAUAAAGUUUAUCUGGUCUUAAUAUUUGUUUCCUCUUUUUCACAAUUCCAGUACGAUAAUCUUUAACUUUCCAACUUUGGACGAACCAAAAUCAUGCGAGGAUCUUUAUUUGGAUCAAUUUUUCAUGAUCUUCUUCGGAUCAACUUUUCAUGAUCUUUCUUGGAUCAAAUUCUCAUGAUCUUUCUCGAAUCAAAAUCUUCAUGAUCUUUCUCGAAUCACAUUUCCAUACAUAAGCCCAUGAGGGCUGUCUCAAACAUAAGCUUCUGACCGACUAUCUCUCGAUCUUUAUCGAAUCAAAUUUCCAUACAUAAGCCUAUAGAUGCUGUUUUACAUGACGAGACUAGUCCAAAUCAUAUCUUUUCUAUCCAAUUAUUAUAUAUUAAUUUUAUAAAUCAAUUUUCAGUUUUCAGUAUAAUCAAGAUAAAUAUAUUAUAUCUAUAUAAUCAUACCAUCAAUCAAACGUACUCAUGCUGAAAAAUUAUACAAAAAAUAAUAAUAUCUCAAAUAUAAUAAAUUCAUAAAUAUGAAUUCAAUGAUAUAAAACCAACAAUACAAAUCUAACGAUAAAAAUAGCAUAUAUAAUGAUGAUUAUGUACAGAGAUUCUUAUCUCGAUAAAUGAUAAACUGAAAUCAUUAAACUAUGAUCUGGAUGUCAAAAUCCUUACUUGAUAUCCUCCUAUCAGAUGGAUUGCUCUCUUAUAUAUAUAAUUUAAUAUUAUAAUAUAAAUCAAAUAAAUCAAUUUAAUUUUUUAGAAAUUCAAUAGGGUCUACUCCCUUGUAGCCUCAAAAAUUUUCCCCUUUUUGUUAUUUUGAAUUCCCCAUAAUCUAUGUAAUGAGAAUAAAUCAAUCAAUCAAUCAAUCAAUACUAAUUAGAUAAUUUAUUACUUUUUUAUUAUGAAUCAGAGAAGAGAGAGAGAAAAACUCUUCUCUCUUCUUCUCUUCCAAACAGGGGCUUAUUCUCCUUGUUCUUCCUCUCCCGCACACGGCCACGAACCAUCGAAGCCAGCCAUCCAUGGUGGCUCCUAGUGGCAGCGAACACCACAGCCCGAUGAUGGCCCCAACGAUGGGUGUUGUCGGUGGUGAAUGGACAAAACAAAAUAAAAAUAGGGAUUGCCCUAUUUUGAACCAAAAAUCAUGGCUUGCCGGCUCUCGCCAUGCUCCAGCGAUGAGAUAGCAACCAAAACAAAAGAGGAAAGAAGAGAAAGGGGAUCUUACCUUGCUCCGACAGUCAAAGAAAACCUCCGACAACCCUUUUUCUGUCCACAACCCAUGGAGAAACCCUUGAGAAAUCUUGAUUGAUUCUCAGUGAUCUCUUAACAAUCCAUGAUGAAAACCUAAGGGAGGGGAAGAGGGCUUUUUAGAGAGGGGUCUCCUAUGCAAUUCAGGACUCCCAUAGCCCUGACCUUAUUGAAACCA